GACGAACGCUGGCGGCGUGCUUAACACAUGCAAGUCGAACGGAAAAGCCGUGGCUUGCUCGCGUGCUCGAGUGCCGACCGGGGGAGUACCCCGUGAGAAUCUGCCCCUUACUUUUGGGUAACCUCGGGGAACCUGAGCCAAUACCGGGUUUGGACCUAAUGCUCCAUGGUGUGGGUUGGAAAGAUUUGGCGGUGGGGAUGGGCCUCGGGCCUAUCCGGCUUGUUGGGGGGGAAGGGCUCUCCAAGGCGGAGACGGGGUGCCGGCCUGGGGGGGGGACCGGGCACAUUGGGACUGAGGUACGGCCCAGACUCCUACGGGAGGCAGCAGUGGGGAAUAUUGCACAAUGGGCGGAAGCCUGAUGCAGCAACGCCGGGGGCGGGAAGACGGCCUUCGGGUUGUAAACCCCUUUCGCCUGUGACGAAGCGUGAGUGACGGUAAUGGGUAAAGAAGCACCGGCUAACUACGUG
rnacentral:rRNA from 1 species